GACGAACGCUGGCAGCGUGCCUAAUACAUGCAAGUCGAACGAACUCUGGUAUUGAUUGGUGCUUGCAUCAUGAUUUACAUUUGAGUGAGUGGCGAACUGGUGAGUAACACGUGGGAAACCUGCCCAGAAGCGGGGGAUAACACCUGGAAACAGAUGCUAAUACCGCAUAACAACUUGGACCGCAUGGUCCGAGCUUGAAAGAUGGCUUCGGCUAUCACUUUUGGAUGGUCCCGCGGCGUAUUAGCUAGAUGGUGGGGUAACGGCUCACCAUGGCAAUGAUACGUAGCCGACCUGAGAGGGUAAUCGGCCACAUUGGGACUGAGACACGGCCCAAACUCCUACGGGAGGCAGCAGUAGGGAAUCUUCCACAAUGGACGAAAGUCUGAUGGAGCAACGCCGCGUGAGUGAAGAAGGGUUUCGGCUCGUAAAACUCUGUUGUUAAAGAAGAACAUAUCUGAGAGUAACUGUUCAGGUAUUGACGGUAUUUAACCAGAAAGCCACGGCUAACUACGUGCCAGCAGCCGCGGUAAUACGUAGGUGGCAAGCGUUGUCCGGAUUUAUUGGGCGUAAAGCGAGCGCAGGCGGUUUUUUAAGUCUGAUGUGAAAGCCUUCGGCUCAACCGAAGAAGUGCAUCGGAAACUGGGAAACUUGAGUGCAGAAGAGGACAGUGGAACUCCAUGUGUAGCGGUGAAAUGCGUAGAUAUAUGGAAGAACACCAGUGGCGAAGGCGGCUGUCUGGUCUGUAACUGACGCUGAGGCUCGAAAGUAUGGGUAGCAAACAGGAUUAGAUACCCUGGUAGUCCAUACCGUAAACGAUGAAUGCUAAGUGUUGGAGGGUUUCCGCCCUUCAGUGCUGCAGCUAACGCAUUAAGCAUUCCGCCUGGGGAGUACGGCCGCAAGGCUGAAACUCAAAGGAAUUGACGGGGGCCCGCACAAGCGGUGGAGCAUGUGGUUUAAUUCGAAGCUACGCGAAGAACCUUACCAGGUCUUGACAUACUAUGCAAAUCUAAGAGAUUAGACGUUCCCUUCGGGGACAUGGAUACAGGUGGUGCAUGGUUGUCGUCAGCUCGUGUCGUGAGAUGUUGGGUUAAGUCCCGCAACGAGCGCAACCCUUAUUAUCAGUUGCCAGCAUUAAGUUGGGCACUCUGGUGAGACUGCCGGUGACAAACCGGAGGAAGGUGGGGAUGACGUCAAAUCAUCAUGCCCCUUAUGACCUGGGCUACACACGUGCUACAAUGGAUGGUACAACGAGUUGCGAACUCGCGAGAGUAAGCUAAUCUCUUAAAGCCAUUCUCAGUUCGGAUUGUAGGCUGCAACUCGCCUACAUGAAGUCGGAAUCGCUAGUAAUCGCGGAUCAGCAUGCCGCGGUGAAUACGUUCCCGGGCCUUGUACACACCGCCCGUCACACCAUGAGAGUUUGUAACACCCAAAGUCGGUGGGGUAACCUUUUAGGAACCAGCCGCCUAAGGUGGGACAGAUGAUUAGGGUG
rnacentral:rRNA from 2 species